UGUGUGUCUUCGAGGGAGUGGCGUAACCUU
rnacentral:piRNA from 1 species